ACAGGAACAGGAAGACGCCUCGGCUCACAAGCCCCUGCCCUCCAGAAACUUCAGUGACAGAAUGGGAAAUUGCAGAAUUGAGGAUUGCUAUAAAACUUGAUGUGCGAUUGGGGCUAGUCCUGCCGCUGGGGACCCCAGCAGGAGGGCAGAGGUCCGCAGAGAGGUCAGGCCCCUCAUGCAGCCACAGCCGGACCUUCCUCGUGAGUUCAUCAGGAUACAGCCUGACACAUGCAUUGUUCUGAAAUCCAGGUCAACCGAGAACCAUCACUUUGGGUCGCCCAGCCAGUGACCGAGCAGCCAGCCAUAAACAGUGGAGACGGAACCCAGGCCGGCUGCAGGCUGGGAUCGGGCACUGAGACGGGACCGAAGCCCGAGCCAUCCGGAGCUGGAAGAAGAGCUCUUCCCCACAGCGGCCGAGAUGGGCAACCUGACAUCUCUGACACCACUGCUGACAACUGCCCUUCCUCGAGGUGACAACACACACGAGGAGGAGGCCGCCCGGUGGGGAGGCUUGUGCUGUCUCCGCUUCCUGUCUGUAUGAACACUUUCCGCAAAACUCACCGUGCGUUUUGCUGCAAUGAAAACCAAACAGUCUCGUUUUCUCCCCUCAGCCAGGCCAGAUGGCUCUGUCUUGUUCUUUCCCCCUCACUCACACCAGAGAUUUUGUUAUCGCUGUUUGUUCUGUUUUGCUUUUUGUGACACUGAGGAAUCUAACCCAGGGGCACCAGGGGUACUCUACCACCGAGCUACACACCCCGGCCCCUUUGCUAAUAUUUUUCAUUUUGAGACAGGGUCUCACUACAUCACCCAGGCAGGACUUGAACUUGCAAUGCCCCUGCCUCAGCCUCCCAAAGUGCUGAGAUUACAG
rnacentral:lncRNA from 1 species